rnacentral:rRNA from 1 species
GACGAGGGAUCCUAGCGUUGUUCGGAAUCAUUGGGCGUAAAGCGGGUGUAGGUGGCUUGGUAAGUCAGGUGUGAAAGCCCAGGGCUUAACCCUGGAAGUGCAUUUGAAACUGCCGAGCUUGAGUGUGGGAGAGGAUAGUGGAAUUCCUGGUGUAGUGGUGAAAUACGUAGAUAUCAGGAGGAACAUCGGUGGCGAAGGCGGCUAUCUGGCCCAACACUGACACUCAGACCCGAAAGCGUGGGGAU